rnacentral:rRNA from 1 species
UAUGACGGUACCCUUUCGAAUAAGAGGUUGCUAACUCUGUGCCAGCAGCAGCGGUAAUACAGAGACCUCGAGCGUUAUCCGGAUUUACUGGGCGUAAAGCGUCUGUAGGGGGUUUGUUAAGUUCCAAGUAAAAUCUUAAGGCUCAACUUUAAGUUCGCUUGGAAAACUAAUAAACUGGAGUCCAGCAGAGGUGCAUGGAACUUGCGGUGUAGGAGUGAAAUCCGUUGAUAUCGCAAGGAACACCAAAGGCGAAGGCAUUGCACUGGGCUGGUACUGACCCUGAGAGACGAAAGCGUGGGGAGCAAAACGGAUUAGAUACCCGUGUAGUCCACGCCGUAAACGAUGGAUACUAGAUGUUCGGGGAUUCGACCCCCUGGGUGUCACAGCUAACGCGUUAAGUAUCCCGCCUGGGAAGUACGGCCGCAAGGCUAAAACUCAAAGGAAUAGACGGGGAUCCGCACAAGCGGUGGAGCGUCUGGUUUAAUUUGAUAGUAAGCAAUGGACCUCACCAAGGUUUGACAUCCUAUGACAACCCUGGAAACAGGGCUUCCUUCGGGCAUAGUGACAGGUGCUGCAUGGUCGUCGUCAGUUCGUGCCGUGAGGUGUUCCGUUAAGUCGGGAAACGAACGAAACCCUCGUCGCAUGUUACAAAUUUCAUGCGAGACUGCCCGGGUCAACCGGGAGGAAGGCGGGGAUGACGUCAGAUCAGCAUGGCCCUUAUACCUUGGGCUACACAGGCGCUACAAUGGCCGGUACAAAGGGUUGCAAAACCGCGAGGUGAAGCUAAUCCCAUAAAGCCGGUCCAAGUUCGGAUUGGAGGCUGCAACUCGCCUCCAUGAAGUUGGAAUCGCUAGUAAUCGUGGAUCAGCCAUACCACGGUGAUACGUUCCCGGAUCUUGUACUCACCGCCCGUCACACCAAGAGAGUUGGUAGC